rnacentral:rRNA from 1 species
AGGGUUUGAUUAUGGCUCAGGAUUAACGUUGGCGGUGUGUCUAAGGCAUGCAAGUCGAGCGACGUACCCAACUUCGGUUGGAUUACGAGCGGCAAACGGGUGGGUAACACAUUGGUAACCCACCUCUAAGACGGGGACAACCUCGAGAAAUCGUGGCUAAUACCCGAUAGUCAUGGGAUGACACAUGUCAUUCCCAUGUAAACCUCCGGGGCUUAGAGAGGGGCCUAUGGCUUAUCAGCUUGUUGGUAGGGUAAAAGCCUACCAAGGCUAUGACGAGUAGCAGGCGUGAGAGCGUGACCUGCCUCACUGGGACUGAGACACGGCCCAGACUCCUACGGGAGGCUGCAGUCAAGAAUAUUCCACAAUGCGCGAAAGCGUGAUGGAGCGACACCGCGUGCAGGAAGACGCCCUUCGGGGUGUAAACUGCUUUUAUCAGGGAAGAAUUUGUGACGGUACCUGAAGAAUAAGAGGUUGCUAACUCUGUGCCAGCC